ACAUUCUAAAUUCUAAAUUCUAUCUCAAAUGGGGCGGGCGAUAAACCAGUAGACACGAUUAACUUAUAGAAAUUUGUACACUGGUAGAGAUUUUGGACUAUCGUCUCUAUCUAUCUAUUGCUGUGCUACUUGGUCACGAAAGCAUUGUUUGCAAGUGAUUUUAAGCUGCAAGAAAUGCAAUCAGCAGUGAAAGAGAACUCAAACAAGAGGUGCUCUUUAUAGUCCUUGAACGGUUAAAUACACACUUAUAUGUGUCAAAAUGCCCAUCUUUGCAAGAAUCCUCCUAAACACCGUAAUUUAGGUCUUAAGUGAAAGCAAACAGCUGAGAACAAAAACGUGUGUGUAACAGUACAUUGGAUCUGGGAAGCUCUUAAAGUGACAGCAGUCUAAUAUUCCUGCUGUCUGUCAUUCAUGUUAAUCAGACAACAAAAGAGAGAAAACCUCUCACUGCUCUUUACUAAAUCACUUUUGUAACUUUUAUAAGAAGAAAUAUAUUUAAUUUACAAAGUGAAGAAUAUUCAGUGUUUUAUAUAUUUGAUUACUUUAUACAAUGUAUGCAGAACUCCUUAUUUAUUUGUUCCACUGUACUUUUUUGUCCUAUCGCUUGUAAUUAGUUUCUUCUUAUUCUUAUUUAAUCGCUGACUGUUUACUUGUCUUCAGUGAGCUUGAGAAUUGUCUUUUAUUUUAGGCUAAUAUUAGUUUUGUUUUUUUGUGAUAUUGACACUGGUGUCAAGAAUUCUGACAUUUUUAUGGUAUUAAAAAUGAAGAUAUCAUAAAGGGCCUAUUCAAAGCAAAAA